UCACUUUUCCCCCAAAUCAUUUUCCUCCUCUCCACCCAGGAACACGCCGAGAUGGUGCUCUUGCCUCUAUUCUCUCUCACUCCCUACCUCCACAACCAUCAAAAAUGGCCGCCGCUACUCGCUCCCUGGUUUCGAUUCAAACCCUUGAAUCCGACAUGGCCACCGACAGUCCAGACCCAUUCUUCAACAAGUAAUUAACCCCGCUCCUGUCCAUCCAAAACCCCCAAUUAAUUCAUCUUCUUCGGGUAUGUAUACAAUGUUGAAUAUAUAUAUAUAUAUAUAUAUAUAUACACACACACACUCACACACACAGCGGCAUGCUUAUGUUUUUACGCAUGUUUUUACUUAUAUUUUUCUUACCCUCAUUUGGGGUCUGUGUAUUUUCUGCACAUGUGUGAGGUAUUGUGUGAGUAUGUGGAAGAUUAAUCUUGUUCGUAGUUAGAAGUAGUCGGUAUGCACAUAGGCACAUAUGCUGAUUGUUGAUAUUGCUGAAUGAGUUAUUAUGGUCAUAUUACAUAAUAUGAAUGAUUUUUUCUAUUCCUCGUUUUCUCUGGUUCAUAUCUUUAGACUAAACCAAAUUAAAAUUAUAAAGGUACUUAACCAGGAUAGCUAGACCGUCAUAAACUAGAUUCCUUUCUUUAGGGAAUUUACCAUGUAUUUGAAAUUAUGUUUGUUUAAUAUAUUAAUAUGUCAGUACUUUGUUCCUGCAGAAAAUGAUAGGUAUAAAGGUAACCUCAUAUUAUAUGAUUCUCCUAUCUAGGAGCUUGAAUCUUUGUGUGCUAUAUAAAUUUCUGCAUUAAGAGUUUCACUAUUGUUUACUUAUAACAUGUUCUUAAUAUUGAUUUGUCUAAGGAUCCAGUUACUUUUUUCUGAUAGUUCUUAUUAUUGGUUCUUCCAGCUCUAAAAAUUUGUUCUGCCAGAAUGUUGUUAAAGAUGAUAGCUUAAUUUAAUACUUGUGGGUUGUAGUCCAUCUUUUGUUUAACCGGUAACUUCUUUGACUGAACAUUCAAAAAUAAUAGCUCAAGUUUUGUUAUUACUGUGGCCUCGAGGAGUGAUUAAUUCUUACAAAUUACACAAAUAGUUUAUCCGUGAAGUGUUCUUUCAUUCUUGGAUUUCUUUGGGGGAACUGGCACUUGGUUAGGUUUAUAGUUUGUUUUUUCCAUAAGUUUUUUUGUAGAUAUGUUUAGGGGUGCUUUUCCUCUUUAGGCAUGGAUUAUUUUGGGAUGUGCAUUGCGUAGUUCUUUUUUUUCUUUUUUCUUUUAUAAAUUCUGCCCCCUUGAUGGUGUGAAUGAAAAGCACUACUAAAAAAAUAAAGUACACUAGUAUCACUAGUAAUAUGUCAUCAUCGGUGGUACUACAGUUAGAAAAAUGCCUUGGUUUAUGUACUAUAUAGCAAUUUAGUUUAAGGUCAUUUUGGCAUGGUGUGAUAGGGACAAACAUAGAUGAUAUUGAUUUAGUCUCAAGGCUAUUCAAACAAUGACACAGUCAGUGUGGUGUAUUUUUGCAGCUAAAUUUCUAGUUUAUCCUAGAAACUUAUUUUUAUCACAAUGGAGCUGAGCACAGAAUAUUGUGAUGUCCAGGUGGUCGAAAGAGAAGUAGUGGCAUACUUCUUUGUGAUUGUGGUUAUUAUGUUCAAAAGUAGUUCUCCUCAAAUGUUACCUUGAAACUAAAGGGGAAUAUAUUGAAAUGCCAUAGGACGUGAAUAAGAAGUUGUUGAAACUAAGGUGGAAUAUAUUGAAACUAAGGGGGAAUAUAUUGGAUUCAAGCCUCACAGUUUGUAGCCAAGCAUGGAACAUCAUACUAUAAGAAGUUGUUGGAACAGAAUAAGCAGUUAAUAUGGACUCAUUUGAUAUGAAUUUCUCUCUCAGACACUAUGUCACGGCUAUAUCAUAAAUUGUUGAUUAUGCAUUCAAGUGUACACUAUUUUUCACACAAGUAGUUAAUAUGGACUCAUUUGAUAUGAAUUUCUCUCUCAGACACUAUGUAAAUUUUAAAUUAGUGGAGUACAACCCCUUAUAAAAGAGGAAAAUAGCCUCCGAGCCUUAAAACCUUGAACCAUGAUGGCAGAUUAUCAAAAUUGCUCCUCCUUAGUUAUAGUAAGGUGCUUCAGGGCCCUCUCACCUCACCAAAGCACGUAGGCAAUGUACCCCUUUUCCUUUGGCAAACCUAUCAAAUAACAUAUCUUCACGGUUAAGUAUAUAGAUUCUGCAUUUUUUGUUACUAGUAUGAUUGCUGCAUACUAGGGAAAGCCACAUGGACAUUUAAUGUAAUUUUUUUCUCCGACAUCUUGUGCAUUUUUUUUUUAUAGUUUUUCUGUCAUACUUGGUUUAUUGUCAAAAAGUAUACCUGUCUGGAAAAUCUUGCAUACCUUUGCUAGCCAUGACUUGAAAGGCCCAUCCAUGUAUUACUUGUAUGAAAUUUGGAGGUUGUUCUGAGCAAGUGCUUCCAAGUUUCCUACUUCACUGACGUGAUAGGAAUGCAAAGUAAACAGCGUCUGGUAAUCUCUUUCUUUUUGCAGGCAUUCUAGCAUGUCUUGACGGAUAUAUUUUGUACAGUACUGUUUAUUCAUUCUGGUAAUUUUUAUUUUCAAGUCUUGUGAUUAUUCUCCUCACUUUUGUAUCAAGAUGAUACAUGAGACAUCUGUUUAAAUACUUUUUAAUCUUGAUUGUUGCUUAUUAUUUGAACGGUCCAAAAUGAUUAGACUGGAAAUAUUCUGACAGUAGCUGUGUGGAUUUAGAGGCGGGGGAAAUUCUGCAGUAAGUCAUUGUUUUGGCAAGCAAGGAAAGGGCAAUCAUUUGACAUUCUGGUCAAUAAUCUUCACUGUGUACUCAAAUUCAUUGUUUUCAUGCCAACAACUGUGUGGAUUUAGAGGAGAUAUGCUCUUGAUUGCAAUGUAAAUAGCUGCUAAAAGAACAUUUCUAUUCUAGCUUAUUUAGUAUGUAUGUAUAUCACUCGUCAAUUUCGAAAAUGGUAUGACAAUGAUUUUUUCUUGUGGAAAUUACAUUACAAGUGGUUAUAUUUUCAAUAUUUUUAAGUUUGCUGAUUUUAUAUGUAGUGGUACAAGUACAGCUAAACAAGUGGGAGUAUUGAAGCAGUUCAUGAUGGGUCUACAAGUACAGCUAAACAAGCUGGGGAACCCACUACUUCGGCUUCAAAUGGAGGAGUAUCUGUUUGUCUUGUCAGCCUUGUUGCACUAAUCUUUUGAUUAAACAAAACAUUGGGUGGUUGGUAGUUGCUACUUUUUCAAUCAAUAUCUGUAGUCACUGUAAUGUUAGGUGGUUGGUAGUUCAUUCAAUUAUUAUAUUGUAAUGUUGUAAUGUGAAUGAUUU
rnacentral:lncRNA from 1 species